rnacentral:rRNA from 1 species
ACGAUGCGUAGCCGACCUGAGAGGGUGAUCGGCCACACUGGAACUGAGACACGGUCCAGACUCCUACGGGAGGCAGCAGUAGGGAAUCUUCCGCAAUGGGCGAAAGCCUGACGGAGCACCGCCGCGUGAGUGAUGAAGGUCUUCGGAUCGUAAAACUCUGUUAUUAGGGAAGAACAAAUGUGUAAGUAACUAUGCACGUCUUGACGGUACCUAAUCAGAAAGCC